AGACAGAGGCCACAAACGUUGUUCGGAAUUACUGGGCAUAAAGCGCACGUAGGCGGCUAGGCCCGUCUGAUGUGAAAGCCCCCGGCUCAACCGGGGAACUGCAUCGGAAACAGCCUGGCUUGAGGACGGUUGGGGUGAGUGGAACUCCUGGUGGAGCGGUGAAAUGCGUAGAUAUCAGGAGGAACACCGGUGGCGAAAGCGGCUCACUGGACCGUUUCUGACGCUGAGGUGCGAAAGCUAGGGGAGCAAACGGGAUUAGAUACCCCGGUAGUCC
rnacentral:rRNA from 1 species